CUGGCACACCAGCCACUCGCUCUCCUCUUUGUUCGGUUUGUUAUAGUCUACCACAUUUGUAGAUGGAUUCUCUGUCAGAGCUUCACCUCCAUGACUGCAUCAUUCAAGGUUAGGAAUCUGCCUGGUGCCCUCCAUGUCUACAUGUGCAGUAGAGGAAGGAAGACGAGAUGGCCGUCUGUCUAUUCAGGAACUGUAUGUCUGAAACUAAGGCAGACACAGACUGUGGGAUUUGUGCAAAUACUAUAUAUAUUCAGCAAGAAAAUAUGGACAUGCAUGACCACUGAGGU